rnacentral:rRNA from 1 species
AGCAGCCGCGGUAAUUCCAGCUCCAAUAGCGUAUAUUAAAGUUGUUGCAGUUAAAAAGCUCGUAGUUGAAUUUCGGGGUCAGUAGGUUGGUCAUGCCACUGGUAUGUACUGGUCUCACUGAUUCCUCCUUCCUGAUGAGCCGUAAUGCCAUUAAUUUGGUGUUGCGAGGAAUCUGGACUGUUACUUUGAAAAAAUUAGAGUGUUUAAAGCAGGCUAACGCUUGAAUACAUUAGCAUGGAAUAAUGAAAUAGGACGUUCGAUCUUAUUUUGUUGGUUCCUAAGAUUGACGUAAUGAUUAAUAGGGAUAGUUGGGGGCAUUAGUAUUCAAUUGUCAGAGGUGAAAUUCUUGGAUUUAUUGAAGACUAACUACUGCGAAAGCAUUUGCCAAGGAUGUUUUCAUUAAUCAAGAACGAAAGUUAGGGGAUCGAAGACGAUCAGAUACCGUCGUAGUCUUAACCAUAAACUAUGCCGACUAGGGAUCGGAUGAUGUUAAUUUUUUAAUGACUCA